CCUACGGGAGGCAGCAGUGGGGAAUAUUGGACAAUGGGGGCAACCCUGAUCCAGCGAUGCCGCGUGAGUGAUGAAGGCCUUCGGGUUGUAAAGCUCUUUUGCACGCGACGAUGAUGACGGUAGCGUGAGAAUAAGCCCCGGCUAACUCUGUGCCAGCAGCCGCGGUAAUACAGAGGGGGCUAGCGUUGUUCGGAAUGACUGGGCGUAAAGGGCGCGUAGGUGGUAUGACAAGUCAGGUGUGAAAGACCCAGGCUUAACCUGGGAACGGCAUUUGAGACUGUCAUGCUUGAGUCUGGGAGAGGAUAGCGGAAUUCCUAGUGUAGAGGUGAAAUUCGUAGAUAUUAGGAAGAACACCGGUGGCGAAGGCGGCUAUCUGGAACAGAACUGACACUGAGGCGCGAAAGCGUGGGGAGCAAACAGGAUUAGAUACCCUGGUAGUCCACGCCAUAAACGAUGAGUGCUAGACGCUGGAAGGUUUACCUUUCAGUGUCGCAGCUAACGCAUGAAGCACUCCGGCUGGGGAGUACGGUCGCAAGAUUAAAACUCAAAUGAAUUGACGG
rnacentral:rRNA from 1 species